rnacentral:tRNA from 1 species
GGGCUGUUAACUCAAUGGUAGAGUACUCGGCUUUUAACCGAUUUGUUCUGGGUUCGAGUCCCAGGCAGCCCA